rnacentral:tRNA from 1 species
GGGCGAUUAGUUUAGUGGUAGAACAACGGUCUCCAAAACCGUUGGCGGGAGUUCGAUUCUCUCAUCGCCCG